UGGUGCCAGCAGCCGCGGUAAUUCCAGCUCCAAUAGCGUAUAUUAAAGUUGUUGCAGUUAAAAAGCUCGUAGUUGAAUUUCGGGAUUAGUACGUUGGUCGUGCCUUAGGUACGUACUGGUGUUACUGGUUCCUACCUUCUGACGAACCAUCAUUUCAUUAAUUUGGUGUGGCGGGGAAUCAGGACUGUUACUUUGAAAAAAUUAGAGUGUUUAAAGCAGGCUCGCGCUUGAAUACAUUAGCAUGGAAUAAUGAAAUAGGACGUUGACCCUAUUUUGUUGGUUUUUAGGAUUGACGUAAUGAUUAAUAGGGAUAGUUGGGGGCAUUAGUAUUCAAUUGUCAGAGGUGAAAUUCUUGGAUUUAUUGAAGACUAACUACUGCGAAAGCAUUUGCCAAGGAUGUUUUCAUUAAUCAAGAACGAAAGUUAGGGGAUCGAAGACGAUCAGAUACCGUCGUAGUCUUAACCAUAAACUAUGCCGACUAGGGA
rnacentral:rRNA from 1 species